ACAACUUCUCUAUGGUUCAUACACUCCGAUACUACUCAUAGAUUCAUCAAAAUAAGCAAACAACACAUAGAAAACAGAAUCUGUCAAAAACAGAACAGUCUGUAGUAAUCUAUAUCAAACGUAUACUUAUGGAACUUAAAAAAUUCUGAAAUAAAUUGGUAGACCUGAGGAAUUUGUCUAUUAAUAUUCUGCAAAAAGAUCAACUUAAAAGCACUCUUCUGUAAAAAAAAAUGACAGCUAAACUCGUGAUCGCAAAGUUUCUGUUUUUUACAGCAAGAUCGCAUUAACUUCCACCCAAGUCUUCCCAAAGGUUCUACUUGGCACUUUAUUGAAACAAAAGCUACAAAACAUGAUUAAUACAGUGUCUUAAUCAUGUGAACACACAAAAACAGUAGGGGUAAAUAUUGGGUUGUCUCCCAACAAGCGCUUUUCUUUAAUGCCUUCCUAGCUAGGCAUGAUGAUUUCAAUGAUGCUCGUAUAAAAGAUAAGAAUUGAAACAUAAAGAGAGCAUCAUGAAGAAUAUGACUAGCACAUUUAAGUCUAACCCAAUUCCUAUGCAUAGGGAUUUUGUGAGCAAACAACUUAUGGGAACAAUAAUCAACUAGCAUAGGAAGGCAAAACAAGCAUAACUUCAAAACUUUAAGCACAUAGAGAGGAAACUUGAUAUUAUUGCAAUUCCUACAAGCAUAUAUUCCUCCCUCAUAAUAAUUUUCAGUAGCAUCAUGAAUGAAUUCAAUAAUAUAACCAGCACCUAAAGCAUUCUUUUCAUGAUCUACAAGCAUAUAAAAUUUACUACUCUCCACAUAAGCAAAAUUCUUCUCAUUCGGAAUAGUGGGAGUAUCAUAAGAAACUCGAAUACUAUAAAUUGUUUCCAUAUUAAAAGAGUAAUGUUCAGAAAAAGGGUAAUCAUAACCAUGAAAAGUUUUAUAAAUACAAUCAUCACUACUUUUUAUAGCAUAAGUGUCAUCACAAUAAUGAUCAUAAAUAUGAGGCAUGCUAUUAUCAUAAUAAAUUUGCUCAUCAAAACUUGGGAGGCUAAAAAUAUCAUCUUCAUUAAAUAUAGCAUCCCCAAGCUUGGGACAAACAUUAAUUGCAGCAAAUAUAUUCUCAAAAAUAUCAUCUUCAUCAAACGUAGCAUCCCCAAGUUUGGGCCUUUUUAUAUUAUAAGCAUAAUCACUCUCAUCAUUAAUAGCAUGGAUAGCACCAAUAGUAUAGCAAUUAUCAUCAUCACAAUGAGUAAUAGGAGCAACAUCAUUUGGGAGGGAUACCUUUCUACCUUUGCUUCUCCGUCUUUUCUUUUUCUUCUUCACAUCAUGUGUGCGUUUAACCCUCUCUUCUGAGCUCCUUAUUAAUGAGAUUGGUUGAAUAGAAAGCUACUCCUCGUUACCUGAUUCAUCAUAAGAAAUAAUAGGAGGAUAUUGGGAAGUCUCUUCCCUUUCAUUAGUAUUCUCUUCAUCUUCUAUUUGUUUUCUUUUCUUUAUGUAAUUGGCAAUAUAAGGAUUUUCAAUGCAAUUCACCGCACAAUACAUAAAAAUUUCUUCUAGAUCAAAAUCAAGAACUUUAUCAAGGACAAAUUCUGGCAUAUCCUUAGUUAUACGUUUCAUUUCUUCAUAACCCAAAAGCAAACUAAGUUCAUUAUGAUGUGCAAGGGAAAUCAAGUCAUCACAAUUUUUGGACACGAUACGAUCAUGAAACAAUUUGCAUUGGGGAUUUAAAUUAUCACAUUUAUUGCAAAGUUCACAAGGAUGGCAAAGAAAUUUUAAAUUUUUAGCACAAGCAUCCAACCUUUCUUGCAACCAUUUAGUUUCUAAAUACUUAUGCCUCUUGCAAAAUCUAUCUUCCCUAUUUGGUGUGUACUUGCAAACUCUAUGCACUCCACAAAAGUUGACAUGCUUAUAAGAGACAUUUUCAUCAUGACUAGUGCAAUCAUCAUUAGUACUAUGGAUAUUCAAGGAAUACAUACUAACAACAUUGCAAUCAUGCUCACAUAUUUUAUGCCAAGCAUUCUAUGUAAUUCUUCUUCUAGUACUUGAGCACAAUUUUCCUUCCCAUCAUUUUCACAAAACACAUUAAAAAGAUGAAGCAUAUGAGGCACCCUUAAUUGCAUUUUUUGUAGUUUUCUUUUAUAGACUAAACUAGUGAUAAAACAAGAAACUAAAAGAUUCGAUUGCAAGAUCUAAAGAUAUACCUUCAAGCACUCACCUCCCCGGCAACGGCGCCAGAAAAGAGCUUGAUGUCUACUACACAACCUUCUUCUUGUAGACGUUGUUGGGCCUCCAAGUGCAGAGGUUUGUAGGACAGUAGCAAAUUUCUCUCAAGUGGAUGACCUAAGGUUUAUCAAUCCGUGGGAGGCGUACGAUGAAGAUGGUCUCUCUCAAACAACCCUGCAACCAAAUAACAAAGAAUCUCUUGUGUCCCCAACACACCCAAUACAAAGGUAAAUUGUAUAGGUGCACUAGUUCAGCAAAGAGAUGGUGAUACAAGUGCAAUAUGGAUGGUAGAUAUAGGUUUUUGUAAUCUGAAAAUAUAAAAACAGAAAGGUAGCAAGUGGUAAAAGUGAGCGUAAACGGUAUUGCAAUGCUAGGAAACAAGGCCUAGGGUUCAUACUUUCACUAGUGCAAGUUCUCUCAACAAUAAUAACAUAAUUGGAUCAUAUAACUAUCCCUCAACAUGCAACAAAGAGUCACUCCAAAGUCACUAAUAACGGAGAACAAACGAAGAGAUUAUUGUAGGGUAUGAAACCACCUCAAAGUUAUCCUUUCUGAUCGAUCUAUUCAAGAGUCUGUAGUAAAAUAAUAUGAAGCUAUUCUUUCCGUUCGAUCUAUCAUAGAGUUCGUACUAGAAUAACACCUUAAGAUACAAAUCAACCAAAACCCUAAUGUCACCUAGAUACUCUAAUGUCACCUCAAGUAUCCAUGGGUAUGAUUAUACGAUAUGCAUCACACAAUCUCAGAUUCAUCUAUUCAACCAACACAAAGAACUUCAAAGAGUGCCCCAAAGUUUCUACCGGAGAGUCAAGACGAAAACAUGUGCCAACCCCUAUGCAUAAGUUCACAAUGUUACGGAACCCGCAAGUUGAUCACCAAAACAUACAUCAAGUAGAUCACGUGAAUAUCCCAUUGUCACCACAGAUAAGCACAUGCAAGACAUACAUCAAGUGUUCUCAAAUCCUUAAAGACUCAAUCCGAUAAGAUCACUUCAAAGGGAAAACUCAAUCCAUUACAAGAGAGUAGAGGGGGAGAAACAUCAUAACAUCCAACUAUAAUAACAAAGCUCGCGAUACAUCAAGAUCGUGCCGCAUCAAGAACACGAGAGAGAGAGAUCAAACACAUAGCUACUGGUACAUACCCUCAGCCCCGAGGGUGAACUACUCCCUCCUCGUCAUGGAGAGCGUUGGGAUGAUGAAGAUGGCCACCGGUGAGGGAUCUUCCCCUCCGGCAGGGUGCCGGAACAGGUCUUGAUUGGUUUUCGGUGGCUACAGAGGCUUGCGGCGGCGGAACUCCCGAUCUAGGUUAUUUUCUGGAGGUUUCUGUAUAUAUAAGAGGUUUUGGCGUCGAGAACAAGUCAGGGGGGUCUCCGGGCUGUCCGCGAGGUAGGGGGCGCGCCUCCCACCUUCGUGAGCAGCCCGGGACUCUUCUGGCCCAACUCUUUUACUCCAUGGCCUUCUUCUGGUCCAAAAAGAAGCUCCGUCAAGUUUCAGGUCAAUUGGACUCCGUUUGGUUUUCCUUUUCUGCGAUACUCAAAAAUAAGGAAAAAACAGAAACUGACACUGGGCUCUAGGUUAAUAGGUUAGUCCCAAAAAUUAUAUAAAAUAGCAUAUAAAUGCAUAUAAAACAUCCUAGAAGGAUAAUAUAAUAGCAUGAAUACUUCAUAAAUUAUAGAUACGUUGGAGACGUAUCAGGGCUGUCGGCAGGGGCAGCGGUGGCGGCUGCUGCUGUUGAGGAGCGGCGGCGGCGGUGGAGGGCCGCGGCGAGUGGUGCCGGAGGCAAGGGCGGUAUGCAUGGCUCGGUUCUUCACUUGCUUCAUCCAACGCUCCUCCAGCCGGAGAUAGGCCACGAACUUGGCGAAGGAGGGCUUUGGGAUUUGCGUGAGGUUUGCCGCGGCGUUGCCGAAGUCGUCGUUGAGGCCGGCGGUGAGCGUGCUGAGGAGGAGAUCAUCAUCAAUCUUCGCGCCAAUUUCGUGGAGCUCGUCAGCAAGGGUCUUGAGACGGCGACAAUAGUCGUCGACGAAGGAGUUGUCUUGGUGGCACCCAAAAAACUCUUGCUGCAGAAAAACGCGACGUUGGAGAUGAUUGUCGUUGAAGAGUUCGUUCAGCUUGGUCCAAACGGCGAGGGCAUCAUAACCGUCUUGCACGGCCGUAUGAAACAGGUCCGGCUAGAUGGUGAGGAAGAACCACCGGAUGAGCGUGGCGUCAAUGGUGGACCACUCGCGAUGCGCAGGCACAAGGCUUGAGUCGACGGAGCCGUCCACGUGGUCAAGGAGGUUGUACUCCCGGAACACAAGGGAGAAGUAGGUCUUCCAUGCGUGGUAGGAGGAGUAUGUUUAUGCAAGGCGGACCGGAACCUGCUCAUACAUGUUGAGGUCGCGGGGGUCAGCGGCGUCGGGAGGGUUGGCAUCGGCGAAUGGGUUGGAAGCGGAGGAGGUGACGGGAGUCAUGGUGAAAAAUUAGGGUUUGGGUGCGGCGGCUUGGGGUGCGGUGGCGGCUUGCGGCGGCGGGUGAGGGGGCGGCGACCGCGGGGUGAGGGUGUGGUGGUGGCUUGGAUGUGCGGCGGCGGCAGUAGCUAGGGUCGCUGCGGCGGCGUAGGGUCGCUGCGGCGGCAGUAGGUAGGGUUGCGGCGGCGGCUGCGCUAGGGAAGGGCGCGGCGGCGGCAGCAGGAUGACGUGGUGGCAGCGGCGCUAGGGUGGGGGUGCGGCAGCGGCGACGGAUGAGGCGGCGGCGGUGGGCGGAAGCUAGGGUUUAGAACCCGGAAACUGAUAUCAUGUAUGAUGAUGGAAUUGCAUGAUAUAUUGAUCGGGUGCAAUCACACGUAUAUAUGAUGUACAAAGGUGGGCCACGACCUCAAUUAUACAAGGAACUAGGAGGUGGACUAGAUACACAGAUAUGCGCAUAACACAUAUACUCAACAGAGCAGGCAGGAGAGGGAAGGAAGCGGAGAGGCCUCACCGCCGCCGCAAGCCAGCCGGCGGCGAUGACAAAGGGGGCGCUCGGAGGGUAGCGGCGGGGAGGGAAAAACCUAGUCGACCCCGAGUCGCCGUAGGAGGACGACGCGGGGGAGGAGAGGAGGGGGGCUCUCCUUCGCAAGAGGUAUCUCUUAACUAGUGAUUUCAACAUAGCUAGCAUUUGAGCUGUCUUUUUUGGUUAUAAGAUGGGAAUCGUUUGAGCUAUGUAGAGGCUAGAGCAUUUUGAUGGCCACGCGUAAGAUUAGGCAAGGAAGUCCACGUAGACGAUAAUUGAAUCGGAUUGCAUGGAUAUCAUUGAAGCUUCAAUGGUGUGACGGAGGUUAGAGCACCAUACUCCGCUAUAAUGGCGGGUUGUUUCCAGCUUGCACACGAAAUUUCAGAUCUUAGAUUUGUUUUCUGUCCUAGGUAUGCUAAUCGCUUGGCACAUACAGUAGCUAGACAUGCUUAGAGCUUUCUCGCCCCGUGUCGCCCCUGCGUGGCGACCGGGGGGGAACCCUAGCGCCGCCGCGUCCUUGUCCCUUCCCCGACCUCUCCUCCUCGCCGCCGCUGGGGCGUGCCGCCGUGCGAAGCCCGGUCGGUGGCGGCGACGGCGGGAUCUCUUCUCCCACGACUCGCUGGAUCUGACGCGGGCGGAUCGCGGCAGUUGUUGGCGGCGCGCUGGAGGCGGGGCGCGCCAGCGCGGGCUUGGGGGCGNNNNNNNNNNNNNNNNNNNNNNNNNNNNNNNNNNNNNNNNNNNNNNNNNNNNNNNNNNNNNNNNNNNNNNNNNNNNNNNNNNNNNNNNNNNNNNNNNNNNNNNNNNNNNNNNNNNNNNNNNNNNNNNNNNNNNNNNNNNNNNNNNNNNNNNNNNNNNNNNNNNNNNNNNNNNNNNNNNNNNNNNNNNNNNNNNNNNNNNNNNNNNNNNNNNNNNNNNNNNNNNNNNNNNNNNNNNNNNNNNNNNNNNNNNNNNNNNNNNNNNNNNNNNNNNNNNNNNNNNNNNNNNNNNNNNNNNNNNNNNNNNNNNNNNNNNNNNNNNNNNNNNNNNNNNNNNNNNNNNNNNNNNNNNNNNNNNNNNAGUCCACUCGGGGCGCGCGGCGGCGGCCCUCGGCAAGCGGUGGCGGGCGCUGGGAUCUCGGCGGCGCUCCGGCGGGUGCAGGCGGCGGUGUUCCCUGUGCGUGGUCGGCGGCUCCGUCUCUGACCCGGACGGUGCGGGGGAUGGCGGCGGCCCGGCGUGCCCGGCGAUCUGGAUGUGGUGGUGCCGGCGGCUCGCUGAUCUGCCGGUGCUCCAGGGCUGCCUGGUGGUGCUGGUGGUGACGGCGGCCCGUGCACGAGAGUUGGAUCCCUUCGAACUGAUCUGGGUGAAAACUUGCCUUCGGCAUCUGCUAAGGCCGGCGGUGGCGGCGCUAUCUGCAUCGUUCCCUUCUUGAAGGCAUCGCCGUGGAGAAGUUCAAGGCCACUCUCUGCUACCUCCGGGGGAAACCCUAAAUCGGAUGAUCGGAUGACGGCGGCGCUCUGGUGUCGUUCCUCCGUUGGGGCGUCAGAGGUACACACGUGAUCGAGGGACCAGAGGACGGAUUCUUUGGUGGAGCGUUGAUUCAUCCUACGCACUGAUGGCGACGGAUCUUGACGGCGUGGCGCAGUGCAGAUUCGGAGUUCGCUGUGGGAGGAUGGACUCGCGCAGGAGGACGACGCUGUCGGGCGUCAUGGUGGCGUCGAUGGCAGAGAGACCUGGCAGGUACAUGCAACAGUACAGCUCUGAAGAUGGAUUGGUGGCAGGUGGCUGCGGCGGGCUCAUAUCCGGCAAGCGUCCUGGUUGAGGAGUGCGCCGGACUGUUAGGUGCCCCAUAUCUGGUAGGCAUCCUGGUUGGGACCUCAGGUCUAAAAUGUUUAGGUUUGGCUGCGAUGUCUGUUUGGUAUUAGGCCCAGACUAUCUACGCCCCUUCAUCAAUUGGAUAGAUGUAGCGACAGUUGUUGCUUAGACGAUGGCUUUGUAAGGUCUUAUAAGAAUAAUUAAUAAAGUGGCCGUAUGCAUCGCCCAGACGCAGAGGGUUUUUUUUAUAAAAAAAACAGCUAAACAUGCUUACGAUUCUAAGCUCGUUUUGUCUUGGGAGGAUGAGCCCCCCGUUUUUAUCCUACCGCAUGUACUCAGCGAUGUAACUUUCUCGAUCAUUGAAUAAGGUGCCGAACUGGCUUCCCUUAAAAAAAAGCAAGGAAGUCCACGUAGACCUCGCAAAAAAGAAAAAAGUCCACGUAGGGAUAUUGUGCGCCGGCAUGGGUGGCGCAAGGUCCCACGAGCACCGGCCGUCCACGCGCACAGUUUAGGCGCCUCGCAGUCCAGAUGCAUCGGCUAAUUUUCUAUAAAAAAAACAUCGGCUGCAUGGUUGAUUUGUUUCGUUUUUAUUUUUCACUUCCCUUGUCUGCCGUCGCUUUCCGGUGAUAAAUGUCUUAACCGUCAUUACUUAUUGACUGCUACUAAUAACUUCUCUGUUUUUAUUUACUUCGCAUAUUAGCUUUGUUUCGAGUCAAGUUUAAACUUUGAUCAAAUUUAUAUGAAAAUUUAUUAACAUCCACAAUAUAUUUUCAUUAUAUGUAUUUUUGUUAUUGUGAAAGUUUAGCUUAUUUUUGUUAUUUUUUAAUAAAAUUUGACUUAGGUCAAAACUGGAGUAAAUAAAAACGAAGGUAGCAUAGAUUAAUUUAAGUUAUCCCAGAAACAUGUCCCCUUUGCCUCCGUGCAACUCAUCUAAAGUUCCCUGUCUCUCGCCGGCGUCGCCGCCGGUCCGCCUCGUUUUCUAUGUUUUUUGGACCAUGGAGACGCGGUGGAUCCCGGUCCUUGCCGGCGGGAGGCUCCGUUUUUAGGUGCUUCUCUAAGUUUUGCUAGGUUUUGUGCCAUGCUCAAAAAGACGAGACGAUUGCGGCUUCUUGAAGAUGGAAUAAGAUCCUAUUUAGCCCCUGUCUCGGUGAUGUUUCAAGCAUCGUCGGAAAACGUGUGGAGGUUUGUCUCUGACGGAUCUCGUGGGAUCUGGCCGGCGUUUGUCUUCAAUGGAUCCGACUGGAUUCAGUUUUCAUUUGUCUACGUUUGCGUGUCCAUAGGUCGGAUCCUUUCAAUCUAUGAUUUUCUUCAUCGGCAACGGUUGCUGUUCUGUUGCGUUGUGUCCUAUGGGGCCUUAGUAUAACGACUUCCCGACUGCUACAACAAUGUGCGCCUGACUCCGACGAGGGAGGGGCAAUGACGGUGGUGCGCCUUCGUUUCGCUCCAGUGAUUGUAGUCGUCGCUAGAUGGUCUAUGGACCUAGUUAAAUUUUACUUCUACUUUUCUUUGUACUACCUUACAGUUGAUGAAUAGAUCGAACGUUUUCUCGAAAAAUAUAUUAGAUUAUCCAAAAAAAGAUUAAUUAGAUUAGAACUGCCUGUAUGGAUUUCUCAUUCCUUCUGCCUAAUUAAACCGUUCUUUGACUUUUUAACCCAUGCGCGGGGCCAUGCCGACCACACCACUGACCAGAUCGCGCUUUCUUGACCGUGUGAAAGAGCAACCUGACGUGAAGUGCUGUGGUGCCGAAAGACGAUAAUGACGGCGCUGGGAGUUUCAUACUUGUGCAGUGUGCACCCAACGAGCGCUUAAAUUCCAGGAUCCUCCCUCGUGUUUUCUUUCCAGGCAACCUCGCUAAUGGUUUCUUCCAUCUAAAGAACGAUUAACAACGUUUGGGCUGAUAUCUAUAUCCCUAUAUCAAUAUAUAAGAACGCAUUUGCUAGUUCUCUAAUUAACAAAGUCUCAUCAAAUUCUUGCACCAUUUAAUUAAUUAAAAAAUCACACGAAUAUUCACAUAAAUUAAAUGGUUUAAGAGUUAUAUAUUUUUUUAGGCAAUUAAGAGUUAUAUGUGAUUUAGUUAAUUUUCGUCUAGAUGAGAACUAGUCACACCCCUAUGAAAAGACUUAAAGGGGCAGAUACAACUAAUCUCGGUUACCAAAUCAGGUCAAUCCAACGACCUAAAUUGCUUCAAUGGUGAGCGCUCAACAUAUUUAGCAUAUAAUUGUUUGCGUAUCAAAUAUUUGAUGUCAUCGCUAAUCACAUAAUUAACACACAAAUAAUAUCCUACUUGAUAUCUACAUGCAAUUAAUAUUUGUCUAAUAUUGAGGUGCAUGGCACGUACAUAUUUGCCGGUUCGGAGAAAUGUGCCUUUUCGAGUAUUGCUUCUCAAUGAAACAACCAUCAUCGUCAAAGGGAAGACAUAGUCUCGUUUAUAAGAAGAAGAAAAGUUCAUGGUACAUGGCUUAGUCACUAAACUAAAACAGGGUAAGGGCCUCUUUGAUUUCAGGACGUGCAAAAAGCAUGAAUAGAAAAACUGAGGAAUAGGGUGGCAUGUCAUCUUCAAUACUAUAGGAUUAGUAUAAGCGCUUGGUUGUGUGCAGGAAAAAUAUAGAAUUCUUCAAAUGAGGUUGGAGUGGACGAAAACUUUCAUACGAAACUAAUACAAGUGAAUUAUAUGUAAAAAAAAAUCUUCCCAUCAUAAUUCUACCGAUCAAACAACCCCCUCAAGAAAAAUCCUAAGGAUUAAAAUAUAUUGACAACACACAAAUGGCUUAGCUAAACUGCACCUAGAACACCACCAAACGGGCAAACAUGCUACCUCAAACAGUAGGCGAUCAACCAUAUUGAAAUGCACAUAUACGACAUUCUUAAAGGAGCUUCCUUUUUUCUUUUAAGAUGAAAGGGACUUUCUUUUUAUAAGUUGCUUUCAAAUAAAUUUGGCUUCAAAAAAGACGUGUCUUCUUCCUCGCUACUCGUACCCUUCCUCCUACCACCCUCUGACGUCCGCGGGCCAUCUGGCACCGCCACCCACAGCCGGCGGCGUUGUUGUGCGAGCCUCGUUGCCCUACCCACUCCAAGCCACCGCAUAUGUUCGUCUACCAUCGCCACUAGCCAUCCCCUCAAACCACGUCAUAUUUUCUAGCUCCGACGGCCAUCUCGUCUAGAACCACUAUUGCGUCGUCCCUGGCUCAAUUUCCCCGCCACUCACCGCAGCGCCCCCGCCUCCAUCUCAGGGUUGUGCUCUUCGAGAAUAGAUUGACACGAGUUGCAAAUUCAGGCACAUACCAAUAGCAAACACGACAUCUUAGACACAUAUACUAGUGGGGCAAAAGAACCCCUCAAAAACAAAACUAGUGGGGCAAAAGAGAAAUGGACUGUUCCCGUAGGGGCGCGAAUGCAACUUGCGUCCAAAUUAAAUCCUUGGAUUGAUGACUCCUCCAUCGGCCAGCGUCACUCACUGCGCCUUCAAUUUUCUAUUCGUUUCCUUUGUGGGAGUAGACUUUUGCGCCUUCAUCCGUUUAUCCGUUCUCUCGUUUUCUUUCUUUCUCCUCUUCUGCCCGACCUAAACGAUUGAUCAAUUCCCUCUGAGAAAGAAAGCAAUUGCCUAAUUUUCCUGGCUGUUCUGGCGACCUAAAGUCUCCCCCGCGGCGGCUGGGAGUUGGGGAUUUGCUAAAUUUCUUGAUUUCAGCCCUCUUGUUGGGGCUGCCGAGGCCGGAUUAUGAGAUGGGCUUCUUGUCGUGCCUGUUCCGGUGCCCCGAGGAGGAGGAGCGGGUGGUGAAGGAGCACGAUGACGACGAGGACUCCGGCGGAAUCGACCAUGGAGUCGCCUCAGGUGAUGAUGCCUGCCCUAGUAAUCCCUUCGUGCUUUACCUACUAAUCAGGCUAGAAAUGUUCGAUUCUUGGUGUUGGUCGGUCUGUAUCUUGUUCUCGCGGAAGGAAAAAUAAUCGACUCUCUUCAGCUCAUGGUCCCAACAAAUUCUCUGUUGGGGAUGGUUCCCAGCUGGAGGGUAUUUUUUUGACGAUGUGUUAUGCUCAGCCAUCAGAAAUUUCCAGUGGCGAGUCCACCUUUACUUUCUUGUGGUGUUGCGAUUCCUCUAGGCUCUAGCAGUUACGUAGAAUUUUUGUUUGUGAGAGAAAGAAGUUUGUUCAUGAGUAGCUGCAAAGUUUUAUCAAGGAAACACAAAUUGAAACACGAUUAGUAAAGUGGAAACCAAAACUAUGAAGAAGAUGAACAGUAGUAGACGAAGACCAUGACAAGAAAAUUGAAAAGGCACAAUGAAAUACUUCCCGCAAAAAAAAACUUUUGUGCUAUUCUUGUUUUUCUGUUUGUCCCAGCGUCCUUUCUUUUUCAGGAGCAUUAGUUUAUUUAAAUGUGGAUGUGUAUUUGUUUCUUUUGAAUUGCUCAUUAAUAGUGGAUUUCUUCAGAGUCAUCAGAAAGUGUCCCACUGAAGACUGAAUCCACACAUAUGGAAGGAAUCCAGAGAAAUGGCACACAUAAUGAGGCGAUGAUCUUCACUUUGCGUGAGCUUGUUGAUGCUACCAGAAACUUCAGCAAGGAUUUUCAGUUGGGGCGAGGAGGAUUUGGUUGUGUGUAUAAAGCAUGUCUGAAUGAUGGUCAGGUUUGUAUUUGGUAGUUAUAAACUAUACUUCUCACCAACAGUAAUAUAAUUCUCAUUGAAUAUCAGUUAUUGGAGAUGUGGAAACUAUAAUAAUCUUGCCCAUAUAUUCGUAUUGUAUGAUAAUAUUGUUUCAGCAUUUGCUGUAUGGCAGGUUGUUGCAGUCAAACAACUUGAUCUAAAUGGGCUUCAGGGGAACCGAGAAUUCCUUGUGGAGGUUCUCAUGCUCAACCUCUUGCAUCACCCUAACCUUGUCAAUUUGAUAGGGUACUGUGUUGACGGUGAUCAACGCUUGCUCGUUUAUGAAUAUAUGCCAUUGGGAUCACUAGAAGACCAUCUGCACGGUUAGUUUAUGUUGGAAAAUGUGUGAACUUAUACUAUUAUCAGGAUACAAUCAUCAGAAAUUCAGAAACCAUUUGUUAAUUUCUAGUAAUGAGAGCAUAUAUGUAGAUUGUAGGAUCUUUAUUUUUUUUCAAUGUCAGCACAUUUUAGUUUGUGAUACUUAGCAUAUCUGGGUGCUUUGAACAUGGUGAAAAGUUGUUCUAACUUGUGAGAAAUGCUAUAAGCUAACUAUCAGUUCUUUUCAGUUGAUUUAAUUAAGUAUUUAUUGCUUUACGUNNNNNNNNNNNNNNNNNNNNNNNNNNNNNNNNNNNNNNNNNNNNNNNNNNNNNNNNNNNNNNNNNNNNNNNNNNNNNNNNNNNNNNNNNNNNNNNNNNNNNNNNNNNNNNNNNNNNNNNNNNNNNNNNNNNNNNNNNNNNNNNNNNNNNNNNNNNNNNNNNNNNNNNNNNNNNNNNNNNNNNNNNNNNNNNNNNNNNNNNNNNNNNNNNNNNNNNNNNNNNNNNNNNNNNNNNNNNNNNNNNNNNNNNNNGUUCAGUAGGUCCCAAUUAAAUCUGAUCUAGGUUGUUCCUGUUUCAUUAUUUGCUAUAUUUGAUCAAAAGCUUAAGCUAGAAUGGGAUGCUCUGAUGACCUAUCAAAUAAUGAGCCUAGCUAUCUAAUAAUUUAGUGAUGUGAUUACCCUAAACAGAAUCCAUCGAGGGGGUAAUAUUUCAAUGAUGGAUUGGUCAUCCUUGAGAAAACUCAGAUUUUAAUCAUAAUCAAUUUGUUGAAUAGAUAAAUUUUCUUAACAGUGGCUCUUUUAUCUAACUUCGUGUUCCUUUCUAGUAUUAUUAUAUCGCAUGCGUCAAUAAGUGAAGAACUAACAUGCUCCUUGACAUGUCACUGACCUUGAAAACCUAAGAUAUUUUCUGUGAUAAUUUACCAUUUUCUUACUUCCAUCCAUUAGAGUUACACAUGAAUGUGCCCUAUACUGUUAUGCUGUUGUUUACUGGAUACCCCCAUUAAUAAAUUACUGUUGAUGCUUUAAACAGACCUUCCACCCAAUAAAGAACCUCUAGAUUGGACAACACGGAUGAAGAUAGCUGCUGGCGCAGCUGCUGGUUUGGAAUACCUACAUGAUAAGGCAAAUCCACCAGUUAUUUACCGAGAUAUUAAGCCAUCAAACAUUCUUCUUUCUGAAGGGUAUCAUGCGAAGUUGUCCGACUUUGGACUUGCUAAACUUGGUCCUGUGGGUGAUAAGACUCAUGUGACAACCCGUGUCAUGGGGACUUAUGGCUAUUGUGCUCCUGAGUACGCCGCGACUGGACAGCUAACGGUUAAGUCUGACAUCUAUAGUUUUGGUGUGGUGUUCCUCGAGCUAAUUACAGGACGAAGGGCACUCGAUAGCAAUCGGCCUCGUGAGGAACAGGACUUGGUCUCAUGGGUAGGUUUUGACAAUCUCACGGUGCAGCUAACUGGUCCAAUAAUCAUGAUUUUAUAAUAAAAAAACAAAGAAUGGAUACAUGUCUAGAGAAGUAUGAAAAGGCUAUAAAGCCUACCGAAAAAGGCUAUAAAGCUUAAUAGGCAUGCAUUGUUAUUUCAUUCUGAUUACGUUCCUUAUAAUAACAGUGCAUGCGUUUGAUACUGGAAAAAGACGGUUAUGUCGAAUGUGGCGGUUGAACUGAUGAAUAUAAUAACAGUGCAUGCAUUUGAUACUGGAAAACUGUACAACUUUUUAUGGGUAUGGAGUGUGGUCUUUUCCGGGAACUAGUAUUAGUCUGUUGCUAACUAGCUGCCUAGUUGUAUACAUCUUUUUUGAUGGAAAACAUUAGAGGUGACCCCUACAGCAUAAAUAGGAGCCUAAAUUCGCAUCCGUAACCAAAUGAGCUAGGCACACUUCCCUAGUUGUAUAUGCCCAGGAACUAAUCAUCUUGUUUUACAUCUCCAGGAUUUUCGUCAUUUUCAAACAUGACACAUCAUUUAAUUUAUUUAUCUAGGUCCCUUAACAGCUAAAGAAAUAGUUUCAUUCGAAAUAUAUAUGCAGUCAUAAAUCGAGUGUGUUCAUAUAUUUCCUUUGAUAUAUUGAGCAUAAGUAUGCGGAUGUUGAAUUGAAUGUUCUCCCAAUCCAUUUGCAGGCUCGUCCAUUGUUCAAAGACCAAAGGAAAUUUCCAAAGAUGGCUGAUCCUUUGUUGCGUGGCCGCUUUCCAAAGAGGGGUUUGUACCAGGCCUUGGCUAUUGCAGCGAUGUGUUUGCAGGAGAAGUCAAGGAAUCGCCCUCUGAUUAGGGAAGUUGCUGCUGCUCUCUCCUAUUUGUCAUCACAAACAUAUGAUGGGAAUGACGCUGCUGUUUGCCGUUACCUUGAUGGCCCUUCGGCAUCAAAAGUGUCAGACGAUCAGGUUAACCAAGAUGAUGCUUUGGCUAGUCAACAUGGAGCUCAAACAUCAAUGCAUGACCGUAUGAAUGACCUUGUCCCAGAAGGAAAAGAACAUUGCAGGAGUGGUUCCAAUCGUGGAGUACGAGGCAGGGUUGUUCCAAACGGUGUCGACCGAGACCGUGCACUUGCAGACGCGAAUGUCUGGGCCGAGGCUUGGAGACGCCAUGAGAAGGCAAGCAAAGUGCGUGUAACCGAUGAAAUCCUCGGAUAGUGAGCUGAGCUCUGCUUGAUGUUUUGGCAUGCUGGCGAUUUUGAAGAGAGCGUUGUUAGGAGAGGAGGAAUAAUGCGCAGCGAGGUGUGUAGUACUGCACCACCAGAGUGAGCGCUCGCAAGGUUUCACCGGUGGAGCCUGUCACGUCCACCGUCGUUUCGCUGCGUACGUUACACGGUCUGAAUUUCACAUGUAGGUAUUGUUUCAGGGGCUUUGUAAAUAAAUGUAAUAACCCCUUUAAUUGAUGGAUCAGUGUGUAGAACCCUUUUUUCAGUCCAUUGUUGGCUCUUGGAUGCAGCCAGAGUUUUUGGGUCCAUGUAGAUGAAAUGGUAACAUCUUGCAGCAUAUACGUUUGGGUUCGUCUCCUAUUCCUUUUCUCUUUCUGCCAGUGCCUUCAGGACACCAACAUUUAACUUUAAUUUAUAUAAAGAAUAUCUACAAAGUUAUGUAGAAAUUACAAAGUGAAAAGAAGAAGAUUUCAGGAAGUGAUGUGUCCAGGAUUUGAAAGCAAGUAAAAGCUUUCGCUUCACUCUGUGUGUAACUAGAGUGUGAUCCUCUUUGAGGUUUCUCUGGCAACUAGCAGCACUUGGAUUCUCAUGAUUAAAAAUCAAUGUUAACAAUAGCCCAAAAAUGAUGAUCUCAAUAGUUCUAUUUCAUGAAUGAAAGAAAUUCCUCUGAGCUUACUGGGGGCAAUAAUCUGCCAGCAGUCUUGAGAAAAUUCACAAUCCCAGAAUGGGUGCAGCUGUGCUUCCUCCAGUUGACAUUACAGAGCACACAUGUGUAUGUAUGCAGGCAGGUGAAAAUACUUCCUUUGAAGAAGAUUUCUGGUGUCCAAGCUUUCCUGGAGCAGCAGCCAGGAGAAAAUUUUGUGGUUGAGCUGGCAAUCACUCUUUCCAUACCCACCGAAAAGGAACACGAGUAAGGGUACCCUCAGUCAGCACAAUAUUUCACAGGGCAAUAAUUUAUAUGCGAGAAAGUUUCAUUUUGUGAGGACUGCAUCCGCAGGAAUUUACACGAGAGGAAGUUGUAUUUUCAUGCGAGAAAGUGAUCAAACUUACAUUACACAUUCCAAAUCCCAAAACAGGAUAGUAGUAAAAGCACAACCAACUCUAAAUCUCUAGUUAACACAACCGGUGACAAUCCAUGGUGGUUACACAGGACUACGCUUUCUUCUAAAAAAGAGAAAAACACACAACUACACUACAGCGCAGACAAGCACAGCCAGAAGGAUUAAACCAAGUAUGCCGUGCGUGCAUGCACCGUAGCUUCCAGAUCAGGAAAAUAUGACAAGACUUGAAAUCACGACGUAGCUCACGUUAUCUGCGACGGCAAACUUUAUACUACCAAAGAAAAUUAAGAAAAACCUGCAACUGCGAAGGCUAAGGAGCUGUACUGCCGAGCAGACGGGUUGAUCUUCUUUUUUUGCGGGUCAGCCGUAGAAGCAGGCGACGGCGCGGCGGCGGGGCGGUGGCUGCAGGGCGGCGAGUAUUAGCCCCACCACGACGACGGCGACGACGAUGAGCACCAUGACGAUGUCCUCGUCCAGCGAGAGCAGGCAUACCUUCUUCCCCAUCGCCGCGCGUGUCUGGUGCAACUGGGCGGUGGUUUCUUUUCUCCACUGAAACUGAAAGGAAUUAAUCCAAGAGGGGUAUAAUAGUGGAACCGGAAGCGUGCUGGUAAAGGGACAAAAAUAUAUGACGUGUGUACAGUAGACAUUUCUGAAAGAAAAGGAAAACUACGUACAGUGGGGUGGCUCUGUCGGUCAACUGCGGGUUCGUUUCUUUAGUCAAU
rnacentral:lncRNA from 1 species